GUCUAUGGCCAUACCCCCCUGAACGCACCCGAUCUCGUCUCAUCUCGGAAGCUAAGCAGGGUUGGGCCUGGUUAGUACUUGGAUGGGAAAGAUCCUGGUUAUGGCAUAGAAU
rnacentral:rRNA from 1 species